AUCCCAUGAUGAGGACAGGUGGCCACGUACUCCUGGAGUCGUUCCCAUGCUUCGGGAAUCGUCACGUCCCUUGUCUGCUGGAAUCCAGAAAUUCUCCCGCGAAGGGC
rfam:Oryza meridionalis cultivar OR44 (W2112) chromosome 9, whole genome shotgun sequence.